ensembl:snoRNA SNORD18 Small nucleolar RNA SNORD18
CAGUAGUGAUGAAAUUCCACUUCAUUGGUCCGUGUUUCUGAACCAGAUGAUUUGCUUGGAUGUUCUGAUGCU